UAGGGAAUCUUCCACAAUGGACGCAAGUCUGAUGGAGCAACGCCGCGUGAGUGAAGAAGGUCUUCGGAUCGUAAAACUCUGUUGUUAGAGAAGAACACGAGUGAGAGUAACUGUUCAUUCGAUGACGGUAUCUAACCAGCAAGUCACGGCUAACUACAUGCCUG
rnacentral:rRNA from 1 species